AGUGAACGCUGGCGGUAGGCCUAACACAUGCAAGUCGAACGGCAGCACAGUAAGAGCUUGCUCUUACGGGUGGCGAGUGGCGGGCGGGUGAGGAAUACAUCGGAAUCUACUUUUUCGUGGGGGAUAACGUAGGGAAACUUACGCUAAUACCGCAUACGACCUACGGGUGAAGGCAGGGGAUCUUCGGACCUUGCGCGAUUGAAUGAGCCGAUGUCGGAUUAGCUAGUUGGCGGGGUAAAGGCCCACCAAGGCGACGAUCCGUAGCUGGUCUGAGAGGAUGGUCAGCCACACUGGGACUGAGACACGGUCCAGGCUCCUACGGGAGGCAGCAGUGGGGAAUAUUGGACAAUGGGCGCAAGCCUGAUCCAGCCAUACCGCGUGGGUGAAGAAGGCCUUCGGGUUGUAAAACCCUUUUGUUGGGAAAGAAAAGCAGCAGGUUAAUACCCCGCUGUUCUGACGGUACCCAAAGAAUAAGCACCGGCUAACUUCGUG
rnacentral:rRNA from 1 species